AUUGAACGCUGGCGGCAGGCCUAACACAUGCAAGUCGAGCGGAUGAAGGGAGCUUGCUCCUGGAUUCAGCGGCGGACGGGUGAGUAAUGCCCAGGAAUCUGCCUGGUAGUGGGGGAUAACGUCCGGAAACGGGCGCUAAUACCGCAUACGUCCUGAGGGAGAAAGUGGGGGAUCUUCGGACCUCACGCUAUCAGAUGAGCCUAGGUCGGAUUAGCUAGUUGGUGGGGUAAAGGCCUACCAAGGCGACGAUCCGUAACUGGUCUGAGAGGAUGAUCAGUCACACUGGAACUGAGACACGGUCCAGACUCCUACGGGAGGCAGCAGUAGGGAAUCUUGGGCAAUGGGCGAAAGCCUGAUCCAGCAAUGCCGCGUGUGUGAAGAAGGUCUUCGGAUUGUAAAGCUCUUUAAGUUGGGAGGAAGGGCAGUAAGUUUAUCCCUUGCUGUUUUGACGUUACCUACAGAAUAAGCACCGGCUAACUUCGUG
rnacentral:rRNA from 1 species